GAUGAACGCUGGCGGCGUGCCUAAUACAUGCAAGUCGAGCGAACAGACGGGGAGCUUGCUCCUCUGACGUUAGCGGCGGACGGGUGAGUAACACGUGGAGAACCUAACUAUAAGACUGGGAUAACUUCGGGAAACCGGAGCUAAGACCGGAUAAUAUAUUGAACCGCAUGGUUCAAUAGUGAAAGACGGGUUUGCUGUUACUUAUAGAUGGAUCCGCGCCGCAUUAGCUAGUUGGUAAGGUAACGGCUUACCAAGGCAACGAUGCGUAGCCGACCUGAGAGGGUGACCGGCCACACUGGAACUGAGACACGGUCCAGACUCCUACGGGAGGCAGCAGUAGGGAAUCUUCCGCAAUGGGCGAAAGCCUGACGGAGCAACGCCGCGUGAGUGAUGAAGGUCUUCGGAUCGUAAAACUCUGUUAUUAGGGAAGAACAAAUGUGUAAGUAACUAUGCACGUCUUGACGGUACCUAAUCAGAAAGCCACGGCUAACUACGUG
rnacentral:rRNA from 1 species